rnacentral:rRNA from 1 species
AUUGAACGCUGGCGGCAUGCCUUACACAUGCAAGUCGAACGGCAGCACGGGGGCAACCCUGGUGGCGAGUGGCGAACGGGUGAGUAAAGCAUCGGAACGUACCCGGAAGUGGGGGAUAACGUAGCGAAAGUUACGCUAAUACCGCAGAUUCUGUGAGCAGGAAAGCAGGGGAUCGCAAGACCUUGCGCUCUCGGAGCGGACGAUGUCGGGUUAGCUAGUUGGUUGGGUAAAGGCCUACCAAGGCGACGAUCCGUAGCGGGUCUGAGAGGAUGAUCCGCCACACUGGGACUGAGACACGGCCCAGACUCCCACGGGAGGCAGCAGUGGGGAAUUUUGGACAAUGGGGGCAACCCUGAUCCAGCCAUGCCGCGUGAGUGAAGAAGGCCUUCGGGUUGUAAAGCUCUUUCGGCCGGGAAGAAAUCGCACGGGAUAAUACCCCGUGUGGAUGACGGUACCGGAAUAAGAAGCACCGGCUGACUACGUGCCAGCCGCCGCCGUAAGAC